UGGGGAAUAUUGCACAAUGGGCGAAGGCCUGAUGCAGCAACGCCGCGUGAGUGAUGAAGGUCUUCGGAUUGUAAAGCUCUGUCUUUUGGGACGAUAAUGACGGUACCAAAGGAGGAAGCCACGGCUAACUACGUGCCAGCAGCCGCGGUAAUACGUAGGUGGCGAGCGUUGUCCGGAUUUACUGGGCGUAAAGGGUGCGUAGGCGGAUGUUUAAGUGAGAUGUGAAAUACCCGGGCUUAACUUGGGUGCUGCAUUUCAAACUGGAUAUCUAGAGUGCAGGAGAGGAGAAUGGAAUUCCUAGUGUAGCGGUGAAAUGCGUAGAGAUUAGGAAGAACACCAGUGGCGAAGGCGAUUCUCUGGACUGUAACUGACGCUGAGGCACGAAAGCGUGGGUAGCAAACAGGAUUAGAUACCCUGGUAGUCCACGCCGUAAACGAUGAGUACUAGGUGUAGGAGGUAUCGACCCCUUCUGUGCCGCAGUAAACACA
rnacentral:rRNA from 1 species